ensembl:lncRNA
GUAAAGGUACAAAAUUCCAAUGAUGAAUGUCAUUACAUUGUAUACUUAAAAUGUACGAAUAAAAUUAAUUAAAAAAAGAAUGAGCACAAGAAUGAAAUAUUUCAGGCAAAAAAUAAAAUAAAAUUUGGAAUGAGACUACUUUCUUCAGAGAAAGGUGGAUGGACAAGGUUUCUUGCCUAUUUUCCUGGUUGUUGGUUUUCACAAUGUUCAGAAUCUCACCACAAACCUUAAUCUCAUCUCAGAGGCACUGAAGGAUAGCACAGAAGUUGAAAUCAUGGAUGAGAAAAUAAGAAAAAGUGUACAACAAGAAAAAUGGCCAAUCUUGGGCCCUCCUUCACAAAAUAUGCCACAAAUAGAUUUCUCUCAACUGAUUGUGCAGAGUUCAUGCCAGGCCAAACCUUUUGCUAACAUGGAGUCAGGGUGAUGAUCUGCUGAUUCUCUUGCAUGUCAUUUGAUCAGAAUGUGCAGUGGCAUAGGUGACUGAUGCACUGAAAUGCCAUUGUAAAAAAAAUCAUGCUAUGGAAAUGAAAGCAACAAGACUGUCUCCUGCACAACAGUGUCUACUCCCAACCCUCUGUAGAGGAGGCUGGGCCAGUGCUACAGUGGAGAUAACCACCUUCAGGGUGAUGAUGUGAGACAGACCUGAGGACUGCUGUCAUAGGGGCUGCCCAUUUCUAUGUAAUUGGCCUGGGCUGCAUGGGCUACUUUUCUUCAAGGUGGAAAAGUUAAUUAUCAUCAUUAUGGAAAUACUGUAAGAUUUUUUUUUAUUUCCAGAAAUAUGUACUUGAGCCCAGAUCAAUAAAGCAGAAAAACAGAGGAUUCAGAAGCAUUUCCCAAAUUGUCAGAGUCAGUAAUAAGAACAUCAACCUCAACGCUCUACAUUGACUCCACAGAAGAAAAGGGGAGAAGAGAAAAGCUGCCCAAGAACCCAUCAGAUCGCAUCGGGAUCUCUUUUUCUGUUGGUGCUGCACUGGCUCAGUCUCCAGGACUUUGCUUCCCUCCUCAGCACCCACAGAGUAGGAGUAGGGAGAGUGUGAAAAGGUGAUACACCUCCUCACCAGGAUGCGACUUCGGCUUCAUUUUAAAUACUAUAAAUAAGUGGGUGUAGAGGAAUGAAGUGCAGCACAAUAAAGGUCAUAUAUCACAAGUUCACAGCUAACAUCCUCAUACCAGAUAAUGACAAAGUAAGUUGUUUUUUAAGGUGAAACUAGAAAAAGUUGCACCUUUUGUCAAUUUAAUUUGACAUAGAUCUAGAAAUCCUGGGCAGAAUAUUUUGACAUAAGAAACAAAUUAUGAGCUUUCAAAUUGGAAAAGAGGAAUUUAAGUACACAUUGUCUGGCGACAAUGUUAUCAUUUAUAUUAAAAAAAGCAACAAAGACUUCUCAACCAAGAGACAAUAAGAACUAGUAAGGAGAUUCAUCAGAUUUGUUGGAUGCAAAAUCAAAACACAAAUAUUAGUAGUUUUGCUACACACCCAUAGCCAAUUAUAUGUUUAAGAAAUGGAAAUAUAAUUAAAUCUGAAUAACUAAAAAGUUCAAAUAAAUUUAAAUGAAGAGACGAAAAAUGCUUACAUAACAUACUGGUGAAGGAAUGUGAAGAAGACAAAUUAAAAUGAAAAAGACAAACCCUGAUCAUGAAUUGGAAGAAUGAAUAUUGUUAAAAUGUUCAUACUGUCCAAAGUAAUGUAUACAUUUAUUACAAACCCUAUCAAAAUACUAAUGGAAUUCUCCACAGAAAUAGAAAAACUCUAAGACUUAUAAGAAAACAUAAAAACUCUCAGCCAAAAUAAUCUUGAGUAAAAAGUAAAAUACAGGGCUGUACACUGUCACUCCAUGGUAGGAAAUUUACUUUUCAUUGAAGUGUGCCCUGAAUACUGUGUUUAAAGUUAAAUUCUCUCUUGUCAUACUUCUAAUUUACUUUCCUUCCCUCCCUAAUUCAAUUAUUUCCCUUUUCUUUUUCUGUCUUUUCAUUAUAUAAUAGAAACUGCAAGUGGGUAAGAAGCCUAAGUUAAUUUUCAAUGACUAUGAAUGCUGGCACAUAGUAGGAAAUCAACCAAUUUUUGUCAAGUUAAUUUGGUUUUGUGUUAUAUCUAGGGCACCAUUGUAUCUUGAAAUAUUAAGCUGUUGGCUUGUUUAUUUUCCACUCUCAUCUCUGUCUUUCACAUCAAGAACUGAUUUUUCUUUUAUCUUAAUUUACCAUGAGCAGAACUCAAUUUUCUCCUCUAGAAAGCCAAGUGAGACUAUUCUUUGAAAGAGAUAGAGUACAAUUACAGGGACGAUUUAUAACAAGUGGUAGGGGAAGAUAAUGGUUAGAAAGUCAGGGGUGAGAAGCUACAAACAGAGGGAUGGGAGGCUUAACACAGGAACCCUAAGAGGAAAGUUCUUCAAAGGAUUUAAUUUUAGCUAUAUCAAAUACAUAUUUGUGGCAACUUCUUUUCAACCUCUGCUGUCAUAAGAGAAAAAUUAAUUCACAAUAUUUUGUACUGUGAAGGGGAGAGAAAAGAAAACAAUAUCUUCCUCUACCCUUCAAAAUACACACACUAAAAACUGAAGAGACACAUUACCUAAGAGAAAGGUCAUUAAUAGGCAUUUCAGUUAUAAUAUUGAAUCCCAAUAUUUUUAGAUAAACUAAUCACUAAUAAAAUGACCCUGAAAUUACAUUACUAUGUUAUCAGAUUCCAAGUUUUUAGAUGUUAAGUUUUUAUGUUUUAAAAUAAUCCUCAUACCUAUUUUUCUCAUCAUUGGAACAAAAUAUCCAACACCCACAAUUUAAAGGAAGUUUGUCUUAGCUCAUUGUUUCAAUACAUAGUUGGCUGUUUCCAAAGCAGAAAUAGCAUGGUGUAAGGUCAUGGGAGAGGAAAACGUUUCAAUCCAUUGCAGCCAGGAGGAAGAGAGAGAAGUGAGGACCAAGGGCCAGGAAUACAUUUUUCUGUGUCACACCCCCAGUGACAACCUCCAAUCAGCCCCACCAACACCUGUAGCUACUGAACUCAUCACUGGACCAACUCAUCAGGGGAAAAUUGUGGUGGGGGAGUAUUUUAGAUCAAAAUCACAAUUGUAAUGCUUUUUGUUUUAUUUAGCUAUCUAUAUCUAACAUACAUUUUCAAUAUAUAUUGGAUUAAGGAACCACCCCUGUUAAUGAUCCCCAGAGUAAAGAAAACAGUGAUAGAAAGAGCAACCUGCAUGGUUGAAGAUGAAGAAUGCUAACCAUUGUAAGAAUUUUUGAAAAAUGUAACAAAGUCUUACAAAAUACUUUUGAAAUGUUUAUAUGUACUUUAAUGUAUUCAGUUAGUAAACUACAAAAGAUGAACUAUUUAAAUGUUGAUUUACAAUAAGGUGGAAAAAUACUAAAGACAUCUGUAGGGAAAAAUCAAACUAGGACUGCUUUUCUAAAAAUAAGCAGUCAGCAAGGUCAGAAAACAGAAAAAUGAGACUAACAAUAUAUGCUGGGGCACAGGGAAUCAGGUCUCUAGUUCAACAGUCCAUUAGAGGGAUUCAGGAUUAAAGACAAUUUCUGAAUGUGACAACAUUUAAUCUUGCUACAUUGCAAACAUAUUGUUUAAAUAUAUAAAUGUGUGUAAUUAUUUGUCAAUAAAAUAAUAUCAAUAAUAUUUUAAAGACAAAGAUAAUCUAGUGCUUCCUAUGAAAACAAAUCAGAACAUAACAAAACUGAAAGAAGGGUAAAUGAACCAUCCCCUUACAGUAGCUCUACAGAUAGUCUUGAGUUGGGAAAAAUCAUGAAAUAAUACUCCAAGUGCCAUUUAUUGCCCCUUCAUGUCAAAAUCAAAGGUGGUCUUAUUUUCUUUUAACCUCCAGGACACUAUCACCUGAACCAGUGCUGUUAGCCUACUUCUGCCUGUUUUUUCAAGACUUUCUGCACUAUAAAUAGCUGCACCGCUCACUACUCUGUGUGCUAAUGCUUCAAAAACUUGAAGCACUGGAAAGGAAACCUCAGAAUGUCUCAUAUUUUCAUUACUUUACUCUAUUCCACAUGUUCAGUAUCAGUGCAAGGGAAGAGCUCAUUAGGGGAAAAUAUGUGGUUUACUUGGUCAAUGUUGCUUUGUGUUUUUAUGCACCCAUCCAGGUCCAUAGUAUAAUCAUUUGGAAAAUGAUCUGAUUAUUUGGUGGGAGUUGCCUUAGGUCCUCUAUCAAAGAAUUUAUUACAGAGUCUCACAAUGAUGGAAGUCAGUGUCUGACUAGCAACCGUAAGAAUAAUGGGUACAUGGUGUUCAUUUGAAAUAUGAAAAAUUUUAAAUCAAUGCCAAACCCAAGGUAGGUUAACAUUUAUUUCCCAAUUUCUUGACAUUUCCAAUUAAACAAUCUAUGGAUUGCUUUCUUUCUUCUUUCUAAUCAUCCAGAUGAGAAGUUGUGAGAACUCUUAUCAAUUUCUCUCUCAUAAUAGAUCAGCAUGACCUGUUCUGGAGCACAUGGGUAAAGAUAUGGGAGGAGUGGGACAUUCUUUCUUCAUGUAAAUAAUACUUUUUUUUCUGAUUAAAUCCCUUCUUGGAUGAUUUCUAAUUCAUUUCUAUUUUAAAGUACACUCUUCUAUAUUAGAUUUUAGCUUUUAGCUUGCAAAGCCUAGAUGAGAUAAUGGGGCCAAAAAGAACAAUCCAUUAUUUACACUUUUCAUUAUUUGUAUAGCUAAAGUUAGCUGCUUCUCAUGGAAUAUGAGGUUUUACUUAUUGUAGAUUAACUUUACCUUGAAGAUAUUCAACGAAAUUUGAAAAUAGGUUAUGUGAUGUAGCUCAGUAAUAGAGUGCUUACCUAGCAUAUAUGAGGCACUGAGUCCAAUUCCCAGCAAAGAAAAAAAUUAAAAUAAAGUUGAAAGUGUCCUUUGUCAUUCUAAUUCUUAUAUAUGCAUUUGUACAUACAUUUGCAUAUAGAAUACUUGCUUUAUUAUGACAAUAUUUAAAAAGAAUUGAUUAAAACAAGAUAUUCUAUUAAUAGGGAAUGAUUAUAUAUGUUAUGCUUCACAAAAGCUAUAGUAAGAAUUUAACAAUAAAAAUAUUUAGGUAUAGCUUUAUAUGAUAAAACAUGCAUAUACAUAUGCAUUCAUGUAAAGUGUAUGAGCAAAUAUAUAUAUGUAUAUAUAUAUACACAUAUAUACAUAUAUAUACACACAUACAUGGAGGUGUAUGUAUAAGCAUGAAAAAAAUUAGAAAUUUAUACCCAAAACGUUGCUAAUUUUUCUUAUUCUGUACAUCCAUAGAUGAGUGAAGGUAGAGUUCUGCAUAGAGAUUGAUGAACAUUAGUCAGUUUCUUCUUAAAUAGUUCAAUGUGUUAUAACAGAUACCUAUAAUUCUAAAUGUAAAGGAUCAGUUAGAAAAAAAAUUGACUUCUUUUUAUAAAAAAAUCACAUUUAUCAGAUUCUUAUAUAAGCGUUAUUUCCAAAGUGAAUAAUGACAAGUGAAUAAAUUUGUUAUAGAAAAGAUGUCAUCUAAUAUACCCCAUAUAAUAUUUUAUUUUUCUGAUUUUACAAAAUAAGUCUUUCUAGUUGCAUUGUAUACUACAUUGUCCAUGCUAAUGAUAUUGUAAUAUUUUUAUACACCAAGACAUGUUAUUUGAUAUCUGAGUUCAAAUGUGCACACUUUUAAUUUUCUUAUACAUGUUAAAUAUGUUUAGAUACAACAGAUUGGUUUGCAAACUGUUCAGAAAAUAUUAUCUCUUUGAUGACAGUUAUAACAUUAUUGUACAGUUACCAGCCACUAUGGAAUAUGAC